rnacentral:rRNA from 1 species
AAUAGAUACCCAGGUAGUCCACGCCGUAAACGUUGGGCACUAGGUGUGGGGGGCAUUCCACGUCCUCCGCGCCGCAGCUAACGCAUUAAGUGCCCCGCCUGGGGAGUACGGCCGCAAGGCUAAAACUCAAAGGAAUUGACGGGGGCCCGCACAAGCGGCGGAGCAUGCGGAUUAAUUCGAUGCAACGCGAAGAACCUUACCAAGGCUUGACAUGGGCCGGAUCGGGCUGGAGACAGUCCUUCCCUUCGGGGCCGGUUCACAGGUGGUGCAUGGUUGUCGUCAGCUCGUGUCGUGAGAUGUUGGGUUAAGUCCCGCAACGAGCGCAACCCUCGUUCCAUGUUGCCAGCACUUCGGGUGGGGACUCAUGGGGAGACUGCCGGGGUCAACGUCGGAGGAAGGUGGGGACGACGUCAAAUCAUCAUGCCCCCUUAUGCCUUGGGCUUCACGCAUGCUACAAUGGCCGGUACAAAGGGUUGCGAUGCUGUGAGGCUGAGUCAAUCCCAGAAAGCCGGUCUCAGUUCGGAUUGGGGUCUGCAACUCC